GAUGAACGCUGGCGGCGUGCCUAAUACAUGCAAGUCGAGCGAACAGACGAGGAGCUUGCUCCUCUGACGUUAGCGGCGGACGGGUGAGUAACACGUGGAUAACCUACCUAUAAGACUGGGAUAACUUCGGGAAACCGGAGCUAAUACCGGAUAAUAUAUUGAACCGCAUGGUUCAAUAGUGAAAGACGGUUUUGCUGUCACUUAUAGAUGGAUCCGCGCCGCAUUAGCUAGUUGGUAAGGUAACGGCUUACCAAGGCGACGAUGCGUAGCCGACCUGAGAGGGUGAUCGGCCACACUGGAACUGAGACACGGUCCAGACUCCUACGGUAGGCAGCAGUAGGGAAUCUGCCGCAAUGGGCGAAAGCCUGACGGAGCAACGCCGCGUGAGUGAUGAAGGUCUUCGGAUCGUAAAACCCUGUUAUUAGUGAAGAACAAAUGUGUAAGUAACUAUGCACGUCUUGACGGUACCUAAUCAGAAAGCCACGGCUAACUACGUG
rnacentral:rRNA from 1 species